rnacentral:lncRNA from 1 species
UUAAAGCCAAUGUGUUGGGAAUCAACCUUAAUGUCCCUCUUUCCCUUAGCUUGUUGCUCAACAACUGUGGAAAAUAUGCACCCAAGAACUUCCAAUGCGCAUAAGCCAUUUGGUUUUCUUUUUUCCUCCAAUAUUUCGAAAAUUUCCACUUAAUUAAUGUUUCCUUCAGUGUUAUUGGUAAUUUUUAUGCUUAUGGUUCUUAUUGCUCAGGGAGAUAUAUUGUAUUCUAAAAGGUUAGAAGGAAGGCUCGUUGCCUUGUUUUCGAUAUGCACUGUAUCCAAUUUAAUUUGCAUUUGAAAUAAAUUUGAAAUCUACUAAGGUGUUUUA